AGCUAACUGCUCCUGAGACAUCUGACUUUCUUAAAGAUGAUUGCUUGAAGAUAUAAUGCACUCUAGGUAUUUUUAUGUAAACUAUUGAUUAGUCCAGACCACACUCCAUUCAGGUCCCAGACUUCAACAUUGCCUACCGGUAAGGCAUCAUAUUUUAGCGUUGGCAGGGAGCGCCAUGAAUGUUUAAGUGAAGUUGCUCUAAAAAAAAUACAUAUAUGUUUAACGGCAGUUGCUCUAAAAAAAACCAGUAGGUAUAUAUAGUGCCUUGUGUUAUUCAAAGGUUUUAGUCUAGGCAUAUAUGUGGAUCCAGAAUUAGAGCACCCUGUAUCUAUGUGUGGUUUAUUAUUUGCGUGCCUCUGGAUGUUUGUAGUUCAUAGCCAUGAUCAGAAUUGGCAAUUAGUUACUCUUACAUUGUAUGAGAUUUGAAAUCUAACUGUGUUAUAGCGACCCGGCGAGCGACCGGCGACGAUGACCUCGAGACGGGCUAAGAGGGGGCGAUGACCGAGGCAGGCGCCUGCCGGGGACGGCGAGCUCAGGGCGGAGCAGGCGCAGGCCGGUGGUGUUGAUCUCGGGGCAGAGAAGGCGCGUGCCGCGGCAGCGACCUCGGGCUGGAGCAGGCAGGGGCCGGCAGCUGAGAAGCGUUUGUGGACCAGCAAGCAAGGGAUGACCACGAUCCGGAGGACAUCGUAGAUAUAUGUGCUUGAGCUUCACUACCGACCUUAGAUUGGCUAAUUACACAUGGACACGCUUUUCAGCAAUUGAUAUUCCAGGCACAGGUGAAUGUCCCUCCUCUGUUGGUUUUCUUUGCCAUGAAUGUUGCUUCAGUAUUAUGCCUUUUGGUGUUCGUGUUUCUGAAUAAGAAUUGUGUCUAUUGAUCUUACGUUCAACUUAAUUGAGUGGUAUGGUUGUAGAUGGACAGUAAAUUAUUGUAAAAAUAUUCUUUGCGGGAUAUCCUAGGUGUUCAUGUACGCAGGAUUUGAUGGUAUCGUCACGAUAAAACGCUUAACUUUCUUAUAUAUUAUGUGCAACCUGAACAUAACUACAUAAGCAUAUCUUAAUGUUGAGGAACUGCCUGGAGUCGUACUGCAAUUAUUUUGUAGCUUCUGCAAGGAGUUGAUGGGACAGAGAAAUGUAUUCAUGGGAAAGUUCUUGACAAGUGGUUCAAUGAUUCCCAAUUUACUACUGUGUGAGAAAUAAUUCUUAGUAUAGACAAGGAAAGCCAGCUUUGCAGUUCUAUACAGUAGUGAUAUAUUAUACUAUAUAUUCUUAUGUAUCCAAUGGACACAGUUUGCCUGGGAAUUAUCUUAAGCUCAAUGUCUGGACCCAAGCGUUAGCUAUAGGUAUCUUUUUUUUUUAUGCUGACAUGGCUAAUUGCAGUACAUAUAGUCAUUUUCUUUUACUUAUGUUCCCAUUACACAUUGGCGUACCGAUGUGGCUGUCAACUCUUAGCUGUCCAAAUGCAUGUGCUCCAUUUAAGUCAACAUCUUUUCGUUAUUGAAGGUGCCUAGAGGUUUAUGGUAGUUUCUAUAGGCAACGAUAAAACAUUGGUGGGUUGCAUUUUCUGCCUACAGCUUUUGUAUGUACAAUGUUUUCUCCUAUCUUCCCAAAGCAAUCUUAUAUUUAUUUAAACAUCAGAUGAUGUCAAGUAAGCAGACCAUGAGUCUUUUCAUAUUGCACUGUUUUACCACUUCAUUGGAUUUUUCUUAUACGGCUCCUGUCUUCACAAACAAAUCUUAUAUCUGUUUGAGUUUUAGGUCAUGUGAAGUAUGCAGAGUAUGAAUCUUUUCAUAAUUUAGUUGGAGUUUCUUAGAUUUAUCUUUAAGGGUAACCUCUAACUUUUCCUCACACUGUUAGUUCAAUUUUCCUUUUGUAGUUUGCUGAGAGUUAAUUAAGAUAUGAGACAAUAUCUAAUCAUUCAUUUCGUGUUCCAUUAACUGAACCUUGAUCUCCUCUUCUUAGCUGCAAGCAUGCCCUAAAAUUAUUUCUGACGUACCGUAAAAACUUCGAACAUCUUGUGCAUCAAACCCGUGGUGGCAACAAACAAAGCCUACAUAAUAAUUGAGCUCACCCUUCUGUACAUUUGUGCUUACUUACCAUGUUCUGAGUAAUCUUUCAAAGAACAUGCUGAGGGCUACUUUUCUUGCAGAUUCCAGAAUGUAGAUUGGUGGCUGAGAUCACUUGUUGAUAAAAUGGCCAGAAGAGCCGUAUGCGCCAGGCGAUGACAUCUUAUUCAGCGAAUAAGGGAGAGAAAAGCAAGACCUGUCCUGGAAGAAUACAUGCCAGAAGGCGAGAAAGAGCGGGAACAUAUUAUGCGUACCGCUGAGGAGUCCGCCAGGAAAGAGCGCACCUAGAAAACAACCCAUGUCCGGCGACUGUGCCAAGAGCUCCUCCACUUAAAGAACAUGAUGCAUUACACGCUCUUGCUCCUCUGGAAGGACCAAAUAAUUCACUGUUACCCUUUUAUCUGAUGACCAAGAAUGAUAACAUCAUGAGUUAAUGCCACAACAUCGUGGGUAUUGUUA